rnacentral:rRNA from 1 species
UACGUAGGGCGCAAGCGUUAUCCGGAAUUAUUGGGCGUAAAGAGCUCGUAGGCGGUUUGUCGCGUCUGCCGUGAAAGUCCGGGGCUCAACUCCGGAUCUGCGGUGGGUACGGGCAGACUAGAGUGAUGUAGGGGAGACUGGAAUUCCUGGUGUAGCGGUGAAAUGCGCAGAUAUCAGGAGGAACACCGAGUGGCGAAGGCAGGUCUCUGGGCAUUAACUGACGCUGAGGAGCGGAAAAGCAUGGGGAGCGAA